rnacentral:rRNA from 1 species
GUUAGAGUGUUCAAGGCAGGCAGAUCCAUUUUCUGCCACCGAAUACAUUAGCAUGGGAUAAUGGAAUAGGACCCUGUCCUCCUAUUUUCAGUUGGUUUGCCGCGAGGACCAGGGUAAUGAUUAAUAGGGAUAGUUGGGGGCAUUAAUAUUUAAUUGUCAGAGGUGAAAUUCUUGGAUUUAUGAAAGUUAACUUCUGCGAAAGCAUCUGCCAAGGAUGUUUUCAUUAAUCAAGAACGAAAGUUAGGGGAUCGAAGACGAUCAGAUACCGUCGUAGUCUUAACCAUAAACGAUGCCGACCAGGGAUUAGGAGACGUUGAAUACAAAACACCACCAUGCGCAUUGCGGUCGUCUUUGGUGUGUCGCUCACAAGGCGGCAUCAUCGGGACGGCUUAGCUCGCAUGGCACCGGUGAAUGACUCCCCUAGAAGCUUUGGGGAGAAA